AUACGAGUGGUGCAAGCGUUAUUCGGAAUAAUUGGGCGUACAGGGUGUGUAGGCGGUAUGUUAAGUCUGUUGUUAAAGACUCCGGCCUAACCGGAGAUGGGCGGCGGAAACUGGCGUACUAGAGGGUGGAAGAGAGAAGUGGAAUUCUCGGUGUAGCGGUAAAAUGCGUAGAUAUCGAGAGGAACACCGAUGGCGAAGGCAGCUUCUUGGUCCAUACCUGACGCUGAAACACGAAAGCGUGGGGAGCAAACAGGAUUAGAUACCCUGGUAGUCCACGCUGUAAACGAUGAUCACUAGACGUUGAUUCUGUUUUACAGAAUCAGUGUCGCAGCUGACGCGUUAAGUGAUCCGCCUGGGGAGUACGGUCGCAAGAUUAAA
rnacentral:rRNA from 1 species